rnacentral:rRNA from 1 species
AGCUCUGUAAGCGUAUACCCAAGUUGUUGCAGUUAAAACGCUCGUAGUCGGAAGUUGGCGGGCGAGGCGGGGUGUCUUCGCGGACGGACCCGGCUUGGCCGCCUUUGUGGAGGGGGGCGCGUUGCCGCUUGAGUGCGGGGUCGUUGCCGCUGCCACCGUUUACUGUGAAAAAAUUAGAGUGUUCAAAGCGGGCGUUUGCCAUGAAUACCUUAGCAUGGAAUAAUAGAAUAGGACCUGUUGUCCUGUUUUGUUGGUUUGUGAGGACCGGGUAAUGAUUAAGAGGGACGGUUGGGGGCAUUUGUAUUCCGGCGUCAGAGGUGAAAUUCUUGGAUUGUCGGAAGACAAACGGCUGCGAAAGCGUCUGCCAAGGACGUUUUCA